ensembl:snRNA U6 U6 spliceosomal RNA
GUGCUCACUUCAGCAACACACAUACUAAAAUCAGAACAAUACAGAGAAGAUUAGCAUGGCCCUUAUGCAAGGAUGACAUGCAAAUUCAUGAAGUGUUCCAUAUUUAA